GAGGAAGUCAGGUGCCAUGUUUUGCUUUUUUCUUUUUGUCCUUUUGUAGAGACAGAGUCUCACUAUGCCACCCAAGCAGGUCCAGAAUUCCUGGCUCAAGCGAUCCUCCUGCCUCUGCCUCUGCCUCUGCGAAUAUUGGGAAUACAGGUGUGAGUCACUGCCCUGUCAUAUUUUGAUUGACACUCUCCAAACCUGAGAGUGGCCUCUGGGAGCUCGGAGUGACCCCUGGCUGACAGCCAGUGAGAAUAUACAGACCUCAAUGUUACAGCCCAGCUGGAUCCUGCCAAGCACCAGUGAGCUGGAAGAGGAUCCCCAGCCUCAGAUGAGCCUGCAGCCUGUGCUGAUGCCUGGAUUUCAGCCUGAGAGACUCUGAGCAGAGGACUCCGCUCAAAGCUGUCUGGAGUCCUGAUCCGCCAGAACCAUGAGAUAACAAACAGGCACUGUUUAGGUGGCGAAAUGUGGUUACAUGGAAAUAGGAACCCAGUGCAACAUGAGAUGCCCUGACAUAUCAAGGGCAGUUCAUGAGUGGGUGCCUUCAGCUUGGGAGGAACCAGACAGGGCUGAUGCAUCACGGUGUCCACAUAUGCAGGGAGGUUGGUUUGCUAGGAAACCUCCCGAUGAGGAAAUUGUUGGGAAUGUACUACAAGGCGCUACCCAGCUCUGGAGCCAGACAAGAGGCCGGAGCAUCCGCCCCAGCACGGCUGGCUGUGUGAGCCUCAGGAAUGCUGGCAGCUCUGCAAGACUCUCUGCCAUCUGCAAAAGGAAUUCUUUGAUGCCUGCCUCUGUGGGUCCUUCUGCCGCCAAGCACCAGGGCACGCUCAGCCAGAGAUUAACUUAA
rnacentral:lncRNA from 10 species